GCCUGGGUGGCUAAGUCGGUUAAGCAUCCGACUUCAGCUCAGGUCAUAUCUCACAGUCUGUGGGUUCGAGCCCCACGUCGGGCU
rnacentral:tRNA from 1 species